GAUGAACGCUGACAGAAUGCUUAACACAUGCAAGUCGAUUCGAUUUACCUUCGGGUAUUGAGGAUGGCGGACGGGUGAGUAACGCGUAAGGAACUUGCCUCUUGGUCUGGGACAACUGUUGGAAACGACAGCUAAUACCGGAUAUUAUGAGAUUCUCGCAUGGGAAACUUAUGAAAGCUAUAUGCGCCAAGAGAGAGCCUUGCGUUCCAUUAGCUAGUUGGUGGGGUAACGGCCCACCAAGGCGACGAUGGAUAGCCGGCCUGAGAGGGUGAACGGCCACAAGGGGACUGAGACACGGCCCUUACUCCUACGGGAGGCAGCAGUGGGGAAUAUUGGACAAUGGGCCACAAGCCUGAUCCAGCAAUUCUGUGUGCACGAUGAAGGUCUUCGGAUUGUAAAGUGCUUUCAGUUGGGAAGAAGAAAGUGACGGUACCAACAGAAGAAGCGACGGCUAAAUACGUGCCAGCAGCCGCGGUAAUACGUAUGUCGCAAGCGUUAUCCGGAUUUAUUGGGCGUAAAGCGCGUCUAGGCGGAAAAAUAAGUCUGAUGUUAAAAUGCGGGGCUCAACUCCGUAUUGCGUUGGAAACUGUUUUUCUAGAGUACUGGAGAGGUGGGCGGAACUACAAGUGUAGAGGUGAAAUUCGUAGAUAUUUGUAGGAAUGCCNAUGGAGAAGUCAGCUCACUGGACAGAUACUGACGCUAAAGCGCGAAAGCGUGGGGAGCAAACAGGAUUANAUACCCUGG
rnacentral:rRNA from 1 species